GAAGAAAGCUGGCGGCGUGCUUAACACAUGCAAGUCGAACGGUGAAGGGGUCUGCUUUUGUGGGCCCUGGAUGAGUGGCGAACGGGUGAGUAACACGUGAGUAACCUGCCCCCUUCUUCUGGAUAACCGCAUGAAAGUGUGGCUAAUACGGGAUAUUCUGGGUCUGUCGCAUGAUGGGUCUGGGAAAGAUUGCGCCUUUGGGUGUUUUUGGUGGGGGAUGGGCUCGCGGCCUAUCAGCUUGUUGGUGGGGUGAUGGCCUACCAAGGCGGUGACGGGUAGCCGGCCUGAGAGGGUGGACGGUCACACUGGGACUGAGACACGGCCCAGACUCCUACGGGAGGCAGCAGUGGGGAAUAUUGCACAAUGGGCGCAAGCCUGAUGCAGCGACGCCGCGUGAGGGAUGGAGGCCUUCGGGUUGUAAACCUCUUUCGCCAGUGAAGCAGGCCUGCUCCUUGUGGGUGGGUUGACGGUAGCUGGAUAAGAAGCGCCGGCUAACUACGUG
rnacentral:rRNA from 1 species